UAUAUAAAAGGAGUGAUGGGUGGGCUGCUUUGGACUAAUAGACCUGGGGUUAGGGAGGGGGGCAGCAGAUAGAGCCUGCUGCAACAAGAUCUCUGCUACUGGCCAGAACUGGGGAAUGUAAGAAGAUGGUGCAGUUCUGUAGAUAUAAGAACUGUUCAGUGUGCCAUCUGAAGGAUUUACAACAGAGACAGAAAGCAAAGAAGUUAUGGCAGAAAAAGAACAGGAAUACAAGCCAGCAGCACAUGCCAAUCAUCUGGUUGAAGACACUGCUUGAAUCCAUGAUUUUCCACGUCACAUUUUCCCCCAUGGCCAGCAGUAAGAAAAGCCUCUUUUGGGGCAAGCCCAAGACCACCAUAAUCAUCAUUGAUUGUACCUCUCUUCCCAGCGUCUUUAAGUAAAAUUUCUCUCCUUUCACUGACAAA